rnacentral:rRNA from 1 species
CCUACGGGAGACAGCAGUGAGGAAUAUUGGUCAAUGGACGAGAGUCUGAACCAGCCAAGUAGCGUGAAGGAUGACUGCCCUAUGGGUUGUAAACUUCUUUUAUAAAGGAAUAAAACGAGGCACGUGUGCCUUUUUGCAUGUACUUUAUGAAUAAGGAUCGGCUAACUCCGUGCUAGCAGCCGCGGUAAUACGGAGGAUCCGAUCGUUAUCCGGAUUUAGUGGGGUUAAAGGGAGCGUAGAUGGGUUGUUAAGUCAGUUGUGAAAGUUUGCGGCUCAACCGUAAAAUUGCAAUUGAUACUGGCAGUCUUGAGUACAGUUGAGGUAGGCGGAAUUCGUGGUGUAGCGGUGAAAUGCUUAGAUAUCACGAAGAACCCCGAUUGCGAAGGCAGCUUACUAAACUGUGACUGACAUUGAUGCUCGAAAGUGUGGGUAUCAAACAGGAUUAGAUACCCUGGUAGUC